rnacentral:rRNA from 1 species
GAUGAACGCUAGCGGCAGGCUUAAUACAUGCAAGUCGUGGGGCAGCAGGGGUAGCAAUACCCGCUGGCGACCGGCAAAUGGGUGCGGAACACGUACGCAACCUUCCUUUAACUGGAGAAUAGCCCCUCGAAAGAGGGAUUAAUACUCCGUAACAUGUACAUGUGGCAUCACAAGUACAUUAUAGCUCCGGACGGUUAAAGAUGGGCGUGCGCCUGAUUAGAUAGNGGCGGGUAACGCCCACAAGUCUGCGAUCAGUAACUGGUGUGAGAGCACGA